CUCCACCCGCAGGACCUCCCGCAGCAGUGAGGACGUCCUGAAGCGAGUGUCAUUCUGUGGUGCUCGUGUAAAAGAUGCAGGUUGAGUCUGGACUGUAGUGUGUCCCAUCAGCUGUGAUGAAGUGCUGCAGAUGGAUGAUGCUGGUGGUCGGAUCUGAUAUCACAUCUCUGUGUUCACUGUACCAUCAGAGAGCUGAAGUCCCCUGACAGCUGAGCUUUGCGUGAAAUCAUUCUCUCCAUCAGUCCUUAUGCAGCAGUGGCGUUUAUUUGGCCUGUGUUCUCCAUUACACUGAAAACACACUCUGUCGCUCUUGUCAUCUUACUGUAAUGAGUCAGAAGCGUGGUGACGCACAGCAAUCUGCCCAUGACAAUCUGGAAAGCAAACAGGUGAGAUGUUGCACGCUCAUACUCAUAGAUGUCCGUCUCUUUUUUUUUUUUUUU